GAUCCUGGCUCAGGAUGAACGCUAGCUACAGGCUUAACACAUGCAAGUCGAGGGGCAGCAUGGUCUUAGCUUGCUAAGGCUGAUGGCGACCGGCGCACGGGUGAGUAACACGUAUCCAACCUGCCGUCUACUCUUGGCCAGCCUUCUGAAAGGAAGAUUAAUCCAGGGUGGGAUCAUGAGUUCACAUGUCCGCAUGAUUAAAGGUAUUUUCCGGUAGACGAUGGGGAUGCGUU
rnacentral:rRNA from 1 species